rnacentral:misc_RNA from 1 species
CGCACAUUGCGCCCACCAGCAUUCUGAUGGGCAUGCCUGUUCGAGCGUCAUUUCAACCCUCAGGCUCCGCCUGGUGUUGGGGCCCUGUGUUUCUACAGGCCCCGAAAGACAGUGGCGGGCUCCGUAGGACCCCGAGCGUAGUACAUCUCUCGCUCCGGGCGUUCGCGGCUCCCAGCCGUCAACCCUAUUUUAUACUAUAAAGUUGACCUCGGAUCAGGUAGGAAUACCCGCUGAACUUAA